GAUGAACGUUGGCGGCGUGCCUAAUACAUGCAAGUCGAGCGAACGGACGAGAAGCUUGCUUCUCUGAUGUUAGCGGCGGACGGGUGAGUAACACGUGGAUAACCUACCUAUAAGACUGGGAUAACUUCGGGAAACCGGAGCUAAUACCGGAUGAUAUUUUGAACCGCAUGGUUCAAAAGUGAAAGACGGUCUUGCUGUCACUUAUAGAUGGAUCCGCGCUGCAUUAGCUAGUUGGUAAGGUAACGGCUUACCAAGGCAACGAUGCAUAGCCGACCUGAGAGGGUGAUCGGCCACACUGGAACUGGGACACGGUCCAGACUCCUACGGGAGGCAGCAGUAGGGAAUCUUCCGCAAUGGGCGAAAGCCUGACGGAGCAACGCCGCGUGAGUGAUGAAGGUCUUCGGAUCGUAAAACUCUGUUAUUAGGGAAGAACAUAUGUGUAAGUAACUGUGCACAUCUUGACGGUACCUAAUCAGAAAGCCACGGCUAACUACGUG
rnacentral:rRNA from 1 species